rnacentral:rRNA from 1 species
CACGUAGGGUGCGAGCGUUGUCCGGAAUUAUUGGGCGUAAAGAGCUCGUAGGCGGUGUGUCGCGUCGGCCGUGAAAACCUGCAGCUUAACUGUGGGCUUGCGGUCGAUACGGGCAUCACUGGAGUUCGGCAGGGGAGACUGGAAUUCCUGGUGUAGCGGUGAAAUGCGCAGAUAUCAGGAGGAACACCGAUGGCGAAGGCAGUGUUCUGGGCCAGUACUGACGCUGAGGAGCGAAAGCGUGGGGAGCAAACAGG